rnacentral:rRNA from 1 species
AAUGGGGGAAACCCUGACCCAGCAACGCCGCGUGAGGGAAGAAGGCUUUCGGGUUGUAAACCUCUGUCCCAUGGGAAGAAACAAAUGACGGUACCAUGGGAGGAAGCCCCGGCUAACUACGUGCCAGCAGCCGCGGUAAGACGUAGGGGGCAAGCGUUGUCCGGAAUUACUGGGCGUAAAGGGUGCGUAGGCGGCAAUGCAAGUCUAAUGUGAAAUCCCCGUGCUUAACAUGGGGAUUGCAAUAGAAACUGUAUAGCUAGAGUGCAGGAGAGGUAAGUGGAAUUCCUAGUGUAGCGGUGAAAUGCAUAGAUAUUAGGAGGAACACCAGUGGCGAAGGCGACUUACUGGACUGUAACUGACGCUGAAGCACGAAAGCGUGGGGAGCGAA